GUGUGGUUUCUAGGGAUUUUUUUUUUUGAGGCUAUAUUACAGUCACGUGAAAACCUUUGGGUUGGAGUGACCCCUAUGUCCCUCUAGAGCUGUGUCUCUCUUCAGAACUUCCAGAGACACGGGGAUCCUCUACGGCAGCGCUCUGCACAGUUGAAAGCUGGGUAGGUCUAGAGGGCGCUAGGCCGCAGGCUACCAAACCUUUCCCACUCUGCCAGAAAGUUUCCGAGCCCUUCUGGAGUCCCUGGGUACGGGCUGCGGUCGGCCGAGAAGGGGACACAGACGAUCGCUUUAGAGAACAGCCUUCCGGGGAAGCGCCGAGGCUCUGACCCACUGCGGAAGAGGAAGGAGAGCUGGGUCCCGGCGCCGGAGGGCGGUGACAGUGUGGUCGCCCCCCGGAGCGCGCGGGUCAGGGUGGAGCCUGCAGCCCCGAGCCGCCUCAGCGUUUAGCAUGCAAAUCCAUUCCCCGCUCCUCCUCUCCCCCCACCCCCAGCCCUCCCCGCCCCGGGAGCGAGCUCCGCCGCUCCGCAGCCGCCCACGCCUCCUGCGCGCCGCGGCGCCCGAGCGGGCGGCUCUACUUAAGCGGCGCGCGGGCCGCGACCCGCCACUCGCCUGGAGCGCGCGGGCGAGGCGGGCGCAGCGCACCGGGGCUCUCGUGGGCUCACAGCUGCGCGCUCGCACCGCGCGGCUCUCGGUGUUGGCGGCGGCGGCGGCGGCGGCGGCCGCCUGA